CAACAACCUGCCGUGCCUCGAGAGAUAAACACCUACUCUCUCUGUGUGCGUCACACUGUGUGUGCGUCUGUGCGUGCGUCACACACAGAAAAAUAUUGAAGUGAAAAUGUCUUCCACAUGAUAUGAGAUUACUUGUACAACAAUCAUGUGACUACCUCUAUACUGUCUUCAGAAGCAACAGUAUAUACAGGUAGUAGAUAUAGAUGGAUAGUCACAUGAUCAUCUAUAUGCUAUCUUCAGACGCGACCGACAGUGAUCUUUUAUCGGGUUGUAUGAGCUGCAAUAAUGGACACAACCUGUAUGGCUAUCCAGACAUGUCCAUCAAGGGCCUCUUUCUUGGGGUCUGUGCUGAGCAAGUGAGUAGGUACAAUGGAGUGACACGGUCAAAGUUCAUUCAUGGGAAGUAGCAUAAAUAUUUGUCUUCAGCUUCUGUCAAUUACAAAUGGUGGUGGGACAGGUCUAUGUAUUUUAAAUUAAACAAAUCCAUCCAGGAAUUCUCAAUGAGGGUAAAGGUAUAUAGAUGCCUAUCCUAUCCCCUAUUGUCCAUUUCUUUUUGCUUUAUUUACCUUUUCAAGGAAAGGGUAAAUGACCCUAUAAAAUAUGUGCAAAGGAGAACCUUGAAUGACCAAGGGUUAAUAAAAGCUGAAGGCGGGUUUAUUCCACAUGAGGAGAGCAGUGGUAUAAGCAGCUCCCCCCUCUACUGACCUACUUAUGUGCAACUCUGCUGCUGUUGUUGAGCUACAGAGUUUCCCUUGCUCACUCGCAGCAUGGACUAUAUUUACUGAUGUUCUACAAUAAUAAGAGUCAUUGGAUGUCUGCUAUAUGGCAACAUAUCUUAAAAUAAACUAUUGAAACCAGUUA